GAUGAACGCUGGCGGCGUGCCUAAUACAUGCAAGUCGAGCGAACGGACGAGAAGCUUGCUUCUCUGAUGUUAGCGGCGGACGGGUGAGUAACACGUGGAUAACCUACCUAUAAGACUGGGAUAACUUCGGGAAACCGGAGCUAAUACCGGAUAAUAUUUUGAACCGCAUGGUUCAAAAGUGAAAGACGGUCUUGCUGUCACUUAUAGAUGGAUCCGCGCCGCAUUAGCUAGUUGGUAAGGUAACGGCUUACCAAGGCAACGAUGCAUAGCCGACCUGAGAGAGUGAUCGGACGCACUGGAAAUGAGACAGGGUCGAGAGUCCGACGGGAGGCAGCAGUGGGGAAUAUUGGACAAUGGGCGAAAGCCUGAUAGAGCGAUAACGCGUGAGUGAAGAAGGUAUUAGGAUUGUAAAGCUCUUUUGGUGGGAAAGAAAAGAAGCAGGUGAAUAGCGGGCUGUUCUGACGGUACCCAAAGAAAAAGCAACGGCUAAAUUCGUG
rnacentral:rRNA from 1 species